rnacentral:lncRNA from 1 species
UCCGCCGCGCUUGGGAGGGCGGUGACCGGAGGACGCUGGCGAGUAGCGGAGGAGCGAGGAGACUUAGCCGCCACUGCGCCGCCGCCACACAGAAUUGCUGGCUUUGUUCUAGCUCUCUCCCUCUGCCCACCUAGCUGCUCCCAUAAUGCUGUGGGUUUUGCAUCCCUAAACCCCUUUGGUCCUCAGUCCGGGGGUCCCCGUAUACCCGGAGACUACAGGUGUGGGUCCCCCGCCCUCCUGAAUCCCGCAGGUCCAGGACCCGCUGACUCCAGCUCUUUCCAAAAGACGAUGUCACACACAGCCUCUCUAGCAGUCUUACUGAAGAUUCAGGAUUCUAAGGCUUGGAAGAAUGAGCAAGUCAAUGUGGGGAGGAAGAAAAUCAUAAAUUAA